rnacentral:lncRNA from 1 species
GCUCGGUACGCACGUGCUAACGCUGAUUUAUGGGAUAAAUACAGCAAUAGACGCAGAAUAAUUUUCUCGGAAAAAUGAAAAAACGGUAAGCCUAUAGCCCAUGAAAAUAUCGAUUCAGCAAGGUCCCAUAAGUUCGCCUAAACGUGCUGUUUCUUCGCUUAAAUCGCUAGGUACGCACGUGCUAACGCUGAUUUACGGGAUAAAUAAAGGAAUAGACUCCGAAUAUUUUUUUCGGAAAAAUGAAAAAACGGUAAGCCUAUAGCCCACGAAAAUAUCGAUUCAGCAAGGUCCCAUAAGUUCGCCUAAAAGUGCUGUUUCUUCGCGUAAAUGGCUAGGUACGCACGUGCUAACGCCGAUUUAUGGGAUAAAUAAAGGAAUAGACGCAGAAUAAUUUUUUCGGAAAAAUGAAAAAACCGUAAGCCUAUAGCCCAUGAAAAUAUCAAUUCAGAAAGGUCCCAUAACUUCGCCUAAAAGUGCUGUUUCUUCGCUUAAAUCGCUAGGUACGCACGUGCUAACGCUGAUUUACGGGAUAAAUAAAGGAAUAGACGCAG